AACGAACGCUAGCGGCAUGCCUAACACAUGCAAGUCGAACGAGGCCUUCGGGUCUAGUGGCGCACGGGUGCGUAACGCGUGGGAACCUGCCCUUAGGUUCGGAAUAACUCCCCGAAAGGGGUGCUAAUACCGGAUAAUGUCUUCGGACCAAAGAUUUAUCGCCUUUGGAUGGGCCCGCGUUGGAUUAGCUAGUUGGUAGGGUAAAAGCCUACCAAGGCGACGAUCCAUAGCUGGUCUGAGAGGAUGAUCAGCCACACUGGGACUGAGACACGGCCCAGACUCCUACGGGAGGCAGCAGUGGGGAAUAUUGGACAAUGGGCGAAAGCCUGAUCCAGCAAUGCCGCGUGAGUGAUGAAGGCCUUAGGGUUGUAAAGCUCUUUUACCCGGGAUGAUAAUGACAGUACCGGGAGAAUAAGCGCCGGCUAACUCCGUG
rnacentral:rRNA from 1 species